UACGAAGGGGGCUAGCGUUGCUCGGAAUCACUGGGCGUAAAGGGCGCGUAGGCGGCGUUUUAAGUCGGGGGUGAAAGCCUGUGGCUCAACCACAGAAUGGCCUUCGAUACUGGGACGCUUGAGUAUGGUAGAGGUUGGUGGAACUGCGAGUGUAGAGGUGAAAUUCGUAGAUAUUCGCAAGAACACCGGUGGCGAAGGCGGCCAACUGGACCAUUACUGACGCUGAGGCACGAAAGCGUGAGGAUCAAACAGG
rnacentral:rRNA from 1 species